CUGAGGUGGAGGGAGGGAGAGCCACAGGAACCAGCCCUGCCACAAAGAAUCCACAGAGCCCCUCAGCAUCAAGCACGGCUGCCCAGAGUCCCUAUCCUCUGCUGACCCAGUGCCAGGCCUGAGGGAUCCACCCAGGAGCUGAUAGGGAUCUGCCUCUAUGGAGCUCACACCCAGCAUCUUCUACACUCAUGUCCAUCCUUUUACCUUUCAAGGACCCUGGAUUCCUCCACUGUCUUUCAACGGCAUCGGGAGUAGAAGAAUGGAUAGGACUUGAGGAUGGUGGCAGAAAGGUAGGUCUGCGGUGUGCCCAUGGGAACGGGUGCACGAGCUGGAGGCACACAGCCAUGUCUUCGUCCGCCGGCAUCCUGUGGUCACGCACGCGUACUUCCACUGGCUGUAUCUGUGACUUCUCCCAAAUCAGCCAAUGUGGGGAUGUGAGCAUGUGUGUGAUUCCACUUAUGAGCGUGAGUGAGCAUGUGUUCAGGGGAAGGGGAAUUUAGGGGUAUGUCUCUAUGUGUGUUUUUUCCAAAUGCUUGGCUUUUUUCAAAAUGGCUUAGAGCACUACUGUCAUUUAUGGGGUUUAAAA